GGAUCCAGACUUUGAUUCUGGCUCAGGAUGAGCGCUAGCUACAGGCUUAACACAUGCAAGUCGAGGGGAAACGACAUCGAAAGCUAGCUUUUGAUGGGCGUCGACCGGCGCACGGGUGAGUAACGCGUAUCCAACCUGCCCACCACUUGGGGAUAACCUUGCGAAAGUAAGACUAAUACCCAAUGACGUCUCUAGAAGACAUCUGAAAGAGAUUAAAGAUUUAUCGGUGAUGGAUGGGGAUGCGUCUGAUUAGCUUGUUGGCGGGGUAACGGCCCACCAAGGCAACGAUCAGUAGGGGUUCUGAGAGGAAGGUCCCCCCACAUUGGAACUGAGACACGGUCCAAACUCCUACGGGAGGCAGCAGUGAGGAAUAUUGGUCAAUGGACGGGAGUCUGAACCAGCCAAGUAGCGUGCAGGAUGACGGCCCUAUGGGUUGUAAACUGCUUUUAUAAGGGAAUAAAGUGAGUCUCGUGAGACUUUUUGCAUGUACCUUAUGAAUAAGGACCGGCUAAUUCCGUGCCAGCAGCCGCGGUAAUACGGAAGGUCCGGGCGUUAUCCGGAUUUAUUGGGUUUAAAGGGAGCGUAGGCCGGAGAUUAAGCGUGUUGUGAAAUGUAGACGCUCAACGUCUGCACUGCAGCGCGAACUGGUUUCCUUGAGUACGCACAAAGUGGGCGGAAUUCGUGGUGUAGCGGUGAAAUGCUUAGAUAUCACGAAGAACUCCGAUUGCGAAGGCAGCUCACUGGAGCGCAACUGACGCUGAAGCUCGAAAGUGCGGGUAUCGAACAGGAUUAGAUACCCUGGUAGUCCGCACGGUAAACGAUGGAUGCCCGCUGUUGGUCUGAAUAGGUCAGCGGCCAAGCGAAAGCAUUAAGCAUCCCACCUGGGGAGUACGCCGGCAACGGUGAAACUCAAAGGAAUUGACGGAAGGGCGAAUUCG
rnacentral:rRNA from 1 species